rnacentral:rRNA from 1 species
GAUGAACGCUAGCUACAGGCUUAACACAUGCAAGUCGAGGGGCAGCAUGGUCUUAGCUUGCUAAGGCCGAUGGCGACCGGCGCACGGGUGAGUAACACGUAUCCAACCUGCCGUCUACUCUUGGACAGCCUUCUGAAAGGAAGAUUAAUACAAGAUGGCAUCAUGAGUCCGCAUGUUCACAUGAUUAAAGGUAUUCCGGUAGACGAUGGGGAUGCGUUCCAUUAGAUAGUAGGCGGGGUAACGGCCCACCUAGUCUUCGAUGGAUAGGGGUUCUGAGAGGAAGGUCCCCCACAUUGGAACUGAGACACGGUCCAAACUCCUACGGGCGGCAGCAGUGGGGGAGAUUGGUCAAUGGGCGAGAGCCUGAACCAGCCAAGUAGCGUGAAGGAAGACUGCCCUAUGGGUUGUAAACUUCUUUUAUAUAGGAAUAAAGUCGGAUAUGGAUACCCGUUUGCAUGUACUUUAUGAAUAAGGAACGGCUAACUCCGUG